UACUUCGACAUAAUACUAUCUAUCACAAAUGCCAUCUUACUUUUAAAGGUCCAUCGAUAUCAGGAUGAUAAAUCCUAUAAACCUUUUAUGUCUGUGUAGGUGCAGCCCCUCGGCCAUGGCUCUCCAUUGUGGAAACCAAAGACAAGGAAGUGGUCCUGAAGUGUGAGGCUGAAGGGUUAGUCUAUAAGCCUGAGUUGGUGCUGCUGAACAGUGAUGGAACCAUCCCCCCUGCUGAUGAACCUACAGAGAAACCCAUGGACUCAGAGGGCUUGUACACAUUGGCACGCUUUUUCACUGUCCAGAAGACUGCCACCAACGUGUUCACCUGUCGAGUUCAACAGCUGGAGAUCAAACACAUGAGGGAGACACAGAUUCAUGUUCCAGACAAAAUGUUUCAUGAGGAAGGAUGGAAAAUUGGAUUUGGAAUUGGAUGUAUUGUAGGGGGUGUUGUGGUGGGUGUUGUGGUUUUUCUGUGCAUGCGGAAAAACAACCCCAACAACGCCCUUAAACAGCACUCAGAAGAAAAAGCGAAAGAAACCAAUGGCGGGUAUGCAGAUUGCAAGAUUUCCCUCCUCGAGAACAGGAACCUGGAGAACAGCAAUGUAAAUGGCCAUCCUAAUGGUGUGCGUGUUUCACAACCUGGAGAACGGGACAGCAAACAUACCCUUGAUUGAUUCCACCAGCCACCCUCGGCGAUGUAAUGAGAGAGACACUUUUAUCACCUGCAGUCUGCUCUGGACUUGGGGACAGUGAAGAGACCUCUGGUGGCAUGUCUUGUGGGGUAUACAUGGAUUUCCGAGCUGUGUGCAAGUAUUUUAAACCGUCAGAUCUGUACAUUCAGCUUGUCAACACCUCUUACAAAAACAAGUAGUGAUGAAGUCAAUCUCUUUUCCACUUUGAGCCAUGAGGGAUUGACAUGCAUGUCAUUAAUGUUAGCUCUCCAAGUACUUUUAAGGGCCAGCCAACUGUAAUAGGACUGGUGGAGUUGUCACACAUGCAGCUAACAAAAAUAUAUGGAAAUGUGUGACAACUAAUUGAAGCAUUACCACAAAAAUGUGACACACUGAACUCUAUCAGAGAAGUAGUUGGUAAACCAGGCGAGGCAAUCAUUUCAGAAACCAAGGCUGUCGAGUCUGCCAAUAAGAAUGUGGUGAUUGACAGAGUCGAAAGCCUUGGCCAGGUCGAUGAAUACGGCUGCCCAUUAAUGUCUCUUAUCGAUGGCGGUUAUGAUGUCGUUUAUCAAUGGCAAUUUGAAUGCACAGAAAUACUGUGAUGAAAUGUAUGCAUUCUCACUACUGUAAGUCGCUCUGGAUAAGAGCGUCUGCUAAAUGACUAAAAUGUAAAUGUACAUGUAAAAAGGGAAGAAGAGACAGAAUCAUUAGAUCAUUUCUGUUGGUACUGUCCAUAUGUAGCUUGUUUUUGGUCACCGGUCCAGCAAUCGCAACAUUUACCUGGAGCCAACUCUGCAAAUAGCACUGCUGGGUGAUUUGAAAAGUCAAGACAAUCGAUCAAUAUAAUAAUAAUACUUAUAGCAAAAAUGUUUCUUUAAUUUACAAUCUGUAGAAACUAUGAGAAUAGAAAGGUUCAGAACUUUUGUUUAGCAUCACAGCACAGUUGAAAAAUAUAUUGCAAAUAUAAAUAAAAAAGGAUGGUGUUGAGAGAUGGGAUGAAGUUGGGUUGAAUGAAGCUGAAGGGUGGGACUAAACAAUAUUAUGAAUGCCAACUGACAAUUUGCGAGCUAUUGGCUAUAUUUUUGCUUACGGGUAAAAAUAAAUAGGGAGAGCUGGUUAUGAGCGCUGUGCUAUAUUUGGCUAUUCAGGUCUGGUUAGUUGAAUCGUAAAAGGUUUGUGAUAGUUUCUGGUUAUUGAUUCUUGGUUUGAAUGUUUAGGUAACACCAGUGAAUUUGAGCAGGAAGUUAAUGUAUUCUAACAUUAUAAUUUUUUUUAAUUUAUUUUUUUAUUUUACCGUUAUUUUACCAGGUAAGUUGACUGAGAACACAUUCUCAUUUACAGCAACGACCUGGGGAAUAGUUACAGGGGAGAGGAGGGGGAUGAAUGAGCCAAUUGUAAGCUGGGGAUGAUUAGACAGCCGUGAUGGUAUGAGUGCCAGAUUGGGAAUUUAGCCAGGACACCGGGGUUAACACCCCUACUCUUACGAUAAGUGCAAUGGGAUCUUUAAUGACCUCAGAGAGUCAGGACACCCGUUUAACGUCCCAUAAUCUGUUUCCAUUACAUGGAACAAUGUCAGGUCAGUAAAGUGAAUUGCAGGUUGAGUUCAUUUUAUUUUUACAGGGACAGUGCAAAUUCAUCGUGUGUGUGUGUGUGUCUAAUGGCAGGAUAUUCCAGACAUGGGAAGCUCUAUCACUGAAAGCUGAUUGACUAAAGGUGCUUUUCCUUCAGAAUAAUAAUUAAAGGACGUAACCACAACAUCUUGUGUCUUAAAGACAAAACCUGGGCAGCUGUGUUAAGUUUACAUACAGUCAUCUCUCAUGGCGGACCUUCUGCUGCCAUAAGGUUUGGGUUUUCUAUUGAACAAAAGUACUGAGUGAAGGAGGAGCCUGGACAUUUAGGAUCUUGAAUACAAGAUAUGCGUCAGUGUAUUGCACAAUAUUUUUUUCAAUUUAGGAGCUUAUGCUUUCUAUAGCUAUUUGGCUUCCUAUCAAGCACUUUGAGAGCCUGUUUGCAGACAGACUGAAUGGGUUUUAAUGUUGCAAAGCAAGCCUGGGCCAAACUAGUCAAGUAGUAUGUUAAGUGGGGGAGUAUCAUAGAUUUGAAGUAUAGUUUUGUUACCUCUGUAGUAAAACAAUUUAAUAUGUUUUGGAAAUUGGCUAGGUUCAAUUUGGUUAUUUGAAUUACCUUUUUCAGUUGCUUUUUAAAAGAGAGGUUGGAAUCCAAGUAUGAUGCCAUGGUACUUAAAAUCAGAUAUCACCUGGAACUUUUCCCCUGAUACAUAGACAUUUGUCUCAGGGGCAUCAGUUGUUUUCUUUGAGGAACAUACAGACUGUGUUUUUAAAAAAUAAAUGAUUGAGAUGCAAACAUGAGUCUCUGAGCAACUUUGUCAUCUGAACCAUUACAGUAGUGAGUUAUUGUGUAGCUUGUUGUUUGUUAUUUGCAUGCAUUGAUCACGGUAUCAUCUGCAUACAUUGGAACUUCAGACCCUGUACAGACAGAAGGAAGAUCAU
ensembl:lncRNA